UACCAGCACCCCCGAGUGGUCGGGACGAUUAUUGGGCCUAAAGCAUCCGUAGCCGGUCCUGCAAGUCUUCCGUUAAAUCCAGCUGCUCAACAGAUGGGCUGCGGGAGAUACUACAGGGCUAGGAGGCGGGAGAGGCAAGCGGUACUUUAUGGGUAGGGGUAAAAUCCGCUGAUCCAUAGAAGACCACCAGUGGCGAAGGCGGCUUGCCAGAACGCGCUCGACGGUGAGGGAUGAAAGCUGGGGGGAGCAAACCGG
rnacentral:rRNA from 1 species